AUUGAACGCUGGCGGCAGGCCUAACACAUGCAAGUCGAACGGUAACAGGAAACAGCUUGCUGUUUCGCUGACGAGUGGCGGACGGGUGAGUAAUGUCUGGGAAACUGCCUGAUGGAGGGGGAUAACUACUGGAAACGGUAGCUAAUACCGCAUAACGUCGCAAGACCGAAGAGGGGGACCUUCGGGCCUCUUGCCAUCGGUUGUGCCCAGAUGGGAUUUGCUUGUUGGUGGGGUAACGGCUCACCAAGGCGACGAUCCCUAGCUGGUCUGAGAGGAGGACCAGGCACAGUGGAAGUGAGCCACGGUACAGACACUGAGGGGAGGCCGCAGUGGCGAAUAUUGGACAAUGGGGGGAAGCCUGAUGCAGCCGUGCCGCGUGGAUGAAGAAGGCCUUCGGGUUGUAAAGUACUUUCAGCGGGGAGGAAGGGAUUAAAGUUAAGACCUGUGCUCAUUGACGUUACCCGCAGAAGAAGCACCGGCUAACUCCGUG
rnacentral:rRNA from 1 species